rnacentral:rRNA from 1 species
CAAACGACUCUCGGCAACGGAUAUCUCGGCUCACGCAUCGAUGAAGAACGUAGCAAAAUGCGAUACUUGGUGUGAAUUGCAGAAUCCCGUGAACCAUCGAGUUUUUGAACGCAAGUUGCGCCCGAAGCCUUCCGGCCGAGGGCACGUCUGCCUGGGCGUCACGC